rnacentral:snRNA from 1 species
GGAUGUGAGGACGACCUGGCUGCGACAUCUGCCACCCCAUGGAUCGCCAGGGUUGAUGCGGCUGAUCUGGCUGGCUGGGCGGGUGUCCCCUUCCUCCCUCACCGCCCCAUGUGCGUCCCUCCCGAAGCAUCGCGCUUGGUCGAAGAGGACGGCCUUCCCCGAAUAGAGACGGACUGGUCUUCGGUCAAGGGUAUACGAGUAGCUGUGCUCCUCUGACUAGGACCUCCAGACAAGCUCCCUGAGGGCAGGAGAAACUGAGGGAAGCCGUGCUCUGUGGCUCCGU